CCUACGGGUGGCAGCAGUGGGGGAUAUUGCACAAUGGGGGGAACCCUGAUGCAGCGACGCCGCGUGGGUGAAGGAGCGUUUCGGCGCGUAAAGCCCUAUCGGCAGGGAAGAAGAUGACGGUACCUGACCAAGAAGCCCCGGCUAACUACGUGCCAGCAGCCGCGGUAAUACGUAGGGGGCAAGCGUUAUCCGGAUUUAAUGGGUGUAAAGGGGGAGCAGAAGGGAAUGCAAGCCAGGAGUGAAAUCCCGGGGCUGAACCCCGGGACUGCUCUUGGAACUGGAUGGCUGGAGUACCGGAGGGGCAGGCGGAAUUCCUAGUGUAGCGGUGAAAUGCGUAGAUAUUAGGAGGAACACCGGUGGCGAAGGCGGCCUACUGGACUGUGACUGACGUUGAGGCCCGAAGGCGUGGGGAGCGAACAGGAUUAGAUACCCUAGUAGUC
rnacentral:rRNA from 1 species